rnacentral:rRNA from 1 species
GAUGAACGCUGGCGGCGUGCUUAACACAUGCAAGUCGAACGGAAAGGCUCCUGCUUGCAGGGGUACUCGAGUGGCGAACGGGUGUGUAACACGUGGGUGAUCUGCCCUGCACUUCGGGAUAAGCCUGGGAAACUGGGUCUAAUACCGGAUAGGACGAUGGUUUGGAUGCCAUUUUGGAAAGUUUUUCGGUGUUGGAUGAGCUCGCGGCCUAUCAGCUUGUUGGUGGGGUAAUGGCCUACCAAGGCGUCGACGGGUAGCCGGCCUGAGAGGGUGUACGGCCACAUUGGGACUGAGAUACGGCCCAGACUCCUACGGGAGGCAGCAGUGGGGAAUAUUGCACAAUGGGCGCAAGCCUGAUGCAGCGACGCCGCGUGGGGGAUGACGGCCUUCGGGUUGUAAACUCCUUUCGCUAGGGACGAAGCGCAAGUGACGGUACCUGGAGAAGAAGCACCGGCUAACUACGUG